rnacentral:rRNA from 1 species
UAAUACGGAGGGAGCUAGCGUUGUUCGGAAUUACUGGGCGUAAAGCGCGCGUAGGCGGUUUUUUAAGUCAGAGGUGAAAGCCCAGUGCUCAACACUGGAACUGCCUUUGAAACUGGAAAACUUGAAUCUUGGAGAGGUCAGUGGAAUUCCGAGUGUAGAGGUGAAAUUCGUAGAUAUUCGGAAGAACACCAGUGGCGAAGGCGACUGACUGGACAAGUAUUGACGCUGAGGUGCGAAAGCGUGGGGAGCAAACAGG